CCUUGGACGGCCUUAGAUAUUGGUUUCCGGAUCACCUCCCACCCGACCCCUUUGCGUGAGACACUUCGCCACCUGCUUGCCGAUCCUUUCCCACAAGGCUCAAACGGGAACGGCCCAGGCAAGGCCCUAAUCAAUCGAUCAUCGUUUGGAGUUCUCAUAUCUGCCGUUCCUUCUCAUAUCUCAGAAUUCAGCGCAAUCAUUCGUCGUCCCAAAUCUCAAUUUCAUUCGAGUAGAGUAUAGCCCCAAUUUGUUUGUCCCUUUCUUCUCAGAAAUACCCUAACCCUAGGUUUCGGAACAUCCCUCCGAUAGAGAGAAAAAAGAGGGAGGAGAGAGAGGGAGGCAGGGAGGGAGAGUCACCACCAUGGCUAGCGACUCCCAGGACCCCACCCGUCGCAAGCAUCGCCACUCCUCCUCCGAAGACGAAGCAGAGGACAGCUCCAAACGCCGCAAGCACCGCCACCAUCACCGUCACCACCGACACCGACACCGCUACCACGACAACCGGAAGAAUGGGGACGAGGAGCCCCACCGCCAGGAAGACGCUGAAGUUGGCGAUCGGAGGAAGCGCCAGGAAGAAGAUGGGGUUCCGUGUCUACCGCCGCCGACGCAGCCGCAGCCGCAGCCGCAGCAGCCCCCUCUACUAGGACCCGAUUAUGACAUGGAGGAAGGAGAGAUUAUCGAAGACGAGGCAUUUGGGGCCCGCGACGACGAUACGGUGAAAAAGGGAACGGAUUCCGAUGUGGAAUUUGAUGGAGUUCAGCUGGGCAAUCUUCGCCGUGAAUCUGAUAAUUGCGACAUGGGAAAUCAUGGACUUACUGAUUAUUGCAGUCCCAAUUCUAGUUUCCCACCCGCAGAAAAUUUCAAUAGUGGUUGUAAUCCAAAAUCAUUGGCGGUGGAGAAAAGUGAUGAGGAAAUGACAAGCAAGACAACUGCGGAUUAUAAUGUUCAUUUGAUUGGUGGUCUUAAAAUUCAUAAUGAGGUCUGUUUACGGGGAAAUUCAAGUUCUUGGCAUGAAAUUAAUGGGGAUAUUGGAAAGGAAUCCGCUAAGGACAAUUAUGAGCCUCAUGCAGUACUGGAAUCCCCCAUUAAAGGAAGUAUUAAGAGAAAGAGCUACUAUGAUGAUGACGACCUUGAUUCUGGGGAACUGAUAAAACCGUUGUCAUCUGAAAAUAAUGAGGACAGGACUGACAGGCACAGAAAUGUCACUUGCUCACCUUCCCAUGAUGGACCUCAUAAAGAGGCUCAUAGGAGGAAUAGAUCAAAGUCUCGUGACCAGACUGAGGAAAGGUCUCAAUCGCAAAGCGCUUUAGAGGAGGCUUCUUUUAUGAAAACUGCACAGCGGAAGGAUGAUUCACUUCGUAGAGAUAACAGAAGAACUUUUAGUGAUUCAGAUGAUGACAGAAUAGGAGGACAUAAUUGGGACUACCAACACUGCAGUAGGGAUUUGUUAAAUGAUAAGGAGCAUAGUUCUAGUUAUGGCAGAUAUACCAGGCAAGUGGACAGGCACCACAGUCGUGAGACUCGAGAUAGAGGGAGGGAGGGGAGUCGGGAUACUUGGGAUAGAAAUAGGGAGGGUAGAGAGGUGGGUGGUGAUAGAAGAAGGGAGAGGGAGGAUGAUCGAUACAGGGUCAAUGACAAGGGGAGAGAGAGGGAAAGGUACAGGGAGGGGGAUAGAGAUAGGGAGAAGGCUAGGGAAAGAUAUAGAGACAGGGAAAGAGAAAAAGAUAAGGAGAAGGAAAGGAGGAGGGAGAAGGAGAGGGACCGUGAAAGAAGUAGUGGAGUGGAUAAAACUAGAGAUAGAGAGAGGGAAAAAGAGAGUGACAGGGUUAGCAGGCUCCAUGGUUAUGGGCAAAAAGUUGGUUAUGAUUAUCGGGAUAUGUAUUAUGAAUCCAAGAAUCAUAGAAAUGAUGAUCACAAAGACAGGGAUAGAAAAAAGGAUCGAGAAAAAAGUUCUGCUAAAGUUGGUUCUUUAGGUGAAGAUGAGGAGAAAUUUAAAAGAGAUGAAGAUGAACAAGCGGACUAUCAAGAAAGGAUCUCAUUACAACUUAUGGAUCAGGAAGAAGAAGAUCUUAACAGGAUUAAGGAGGAGAGUAGAAAGAGAAUGCAGGCUAUCCUGGAGAAAUACAAGUCUCAGCAGUUACAGCAACAACAUGAGCCUCAUCCAGAGAACAAGAAUAAGGAGCAUGCUGAACAUGCUUUAAAGGAGGUGCCUAGUGUUAGUGUUCCUCGAGAAGCUAUUGAUGCAAGGACCAAAGGUGCUGACACGUUUGUUGCUGAUCAGUCAUUUACACCGGGGAAAUCUCCACCUCAGGAUGGUAGUUCUAGUUUUGAAAAGACUUCUGGCGCAGGGGGACUGGGUGAAGGUACACCUAAGAGUGAGAGGUCAAAUGAUAUUUUCUGUGAUGAUAUUUUUGGAGAUUCACCUACUGGAGUUCGUAGAACGGGGAAAGGAGAGGGUUUAGCAAUUGAAAGGAGUGGUCUUCAUGAUAACUGGGAUGAUGCAGAAGGGUAUUACAGCUACAGGUUUGGGGAACUACUUGAUGGUCGGUAUGAAAUAACCGCUGCUCAUGGGAAAGGGGUAUUCUCGACGGUAGUUCGGGCGAAAGAUCUGAAGGCUGGACCUGGUGAUCCAGAAGAAGUGGCAAUAAAAAUUAUACGUAAUAAUGAGCACAUGCAUAAGGCUGGCAAAGAGGAAUUGAUCAUAUUAAAGAAGUUAGUUGGUGCUGACCCAGAUAACAAACGCCACUGUGUUCGUUUCCUUUCAUCCUUUAAGUACCGCAAUCAUCUAUGUUUAGUUUUUGAGUCCCUUCAUAUGAAUCUACGAGAGCUUUUAAAGAAGUUUGGCCGUAACAUUGGACUUAAACUAACUGCUGUGAGGACUUAUUCAAAGCAACUAUUUAUUGCACUGAAGCAUCUCAAAAACUGUGGCGUUCUUCACUGUGAUAUAAAGCCGGAUAAUAUGUUGGUAAAUGAAGCGAAAAAUGUGCUGAAACUUUGUGAUUUUGGUAAUGCUAUGUUUGCUGGUAAAAAUGAAAUUACGCCUUACCUUGUGAGCCGCUUUUAUCGUGCCCCGGAGAUAAUUCUUGGCUUGCCUUAUGACCAUCCAAUGGAUAUUUGGUCUGUUGGUUGCUGUCUGUUUGAGCUCUAUACUGGGAAAGUACUCUUUCCAGGGGCCACAAACAAUGACAUGCUUCGGCUUCAUAUGGAAUUAAAAGGUCAAUUUCCAAAAAAGAUGCUUCGAAAGGGAGCCUUCACAGAGCAGCACUUUGACCAGGAUUUGAAUUUUCUUGCCACCGAGGAGGAUCCUGUUACGAAGAAGUCUAUGAAGAGGCUGAUCACUAGCAUCAAGCCAAAAGAUAUUGGUGCAAUAGUUUCAAGCUCUCCUGGUGAGGAUCUGAAGAUGUUGGCCAAUUUCAAGGAUCUUCUGGAAAAAAUUUUUGUUUUAGAUCCAGAUAAGAGGAUAACUGUAUCACAGGCGUUGAGCCAUCCAUUCAUCACUGGCAAGUGAACAAUGAUGCUGAUUUUCUGACUCCAGAAAUGCUGUUGCAGUUGAUAUUUGUUCAUUGUGGCUGAAUUUAUAGUGAAAUAUCUAAUCAAUGGCCAUUUAUCUGUCUUUAUCUUCUUUAUGUUGGCUACUGAGCUUGGGGGCUCUUGGCAUCUCGGAAGUGGAAAGCGCUAAUGUUUGGUCUGGAGGCCUCUUGGUGGUCCUUUCAGUGGAAUGUUUUCUGUUCCUAUUGAGUCUACCAGUGCUAUGAGGCAACUACUCAGUGCUUUAGAUGCAUAAAAGGCACUCUGGAGAAGGAAUUCGCAUUGGAGAUGUAUCACUGCAGCAGCUUGAACUGGAUGUACUUUCCAGUUACAACACCCCAUGCUUCAUCAACUCUUGUUACCCUGGCAUCUCCUGUACAUGGAUAACCUUGAAUUGUUUCCUUGUUUGAGACCUGUCUCAGCCUGCCCUCAUGAUGUGACCAUAUCUUUUCUCUUUUAUUAUCAAUUUGUAACUGGUUAUGGUCAGAUCUGUUAUCUUGAUAUUUGGUUUGGCCUCUUUUGUUUUUGUUUUUUUUUUUUAAUGGUGGAUUUUGUUGAUCAUCUAUGCUGGCAAGAGGGUGGGGGCUGUUUCUUUGUUAAUAUCUCAAUUUUUAUCACUUUCAUGUUAAAGAAUUAUGUUUGUCUUAGAAUCUCAUACUUUCUUUGGGCUCUGGCUGUUCAAUUUAUUAUUGGGUAGCUUAGGAAAGUAAGAGAUUGCAAUUGUAAUUUUUAUUCUGUUGAUUGGAACAUGCUCGCAGGCAGCAAAAUCUGGAAUGCAUAUUGUGGUCUUUCAUAAGAAUGAAACUGAUGUGUCUUUCUUAUUAAAAUGAACUUUUGAGACACCUCUUCUAGUUUUUCUCUCUCCCUGUGUCUUGCUAUCUUGGUCCUCUUGUUUUUUUUUCAGUCUUGGGUAGCAUUUUCCUAGUUAUUAGUCAACUUACAUCUGCUAGAGAAGCAGGUGCAAACUACAUAUUGAGGGAGCUCAUGCCUGUGGACUGGCAAAGUGAUCUAACAUUUUUUUUGGAUGAUGUGAUCCAACAUUUGUUUGUCCCUUUUGUUGAUCUCCCUCUUUUCCUCCCCUUAAUGGCUCAUAUAGUGUCAUUUGUCUUCCAGGAUGCUGCUUUGUUUAACAAUGAUCCUUUGGAGUUUGUUUUCUUCAGAUUCUGCAUUUGGAUCUGUAAGAAUUGAAAAAAAUAAAAAACCUGUAAAUUGGAGAGGGUUAAGACUUGUAUUAUACUUUCUUUUUCUUUGCCUUUGUAUAUAUUGGAUUUCAAAAUGUCAUUUUGCAUGUAAAUGAUAGGUUUUUAGACUAGUGCCUUGUUCUUUAAUUGCCUACGGGUUUUAUGGGAGCACAUGGGCGUAACCCUUCAUAGCGACGCGCUACACUGCCCCCGUGUAGUGACAAGUGAGAUAGGGCCGCUGCAUCGGCGCCCGGAUGUAGUGAUAAAUGAGAAAGGGUUCCCGCAUUUGCUUGGACGGAUGUGGGUAAAGAAGUUAGUCCAAAAUCAAAAUCAAAACCAAAACCAAAACCAAAACCAAAAUCAAAAUCAAAAACAAAAUCAAAUUCAAGGCCAAAAACAAAAUCAAAUCCAAAGUCAAGGCCAAAAACAAAAUCAUAGAUUAAGGAUUGGGUCAUGGAACAUAAGAACAUUAACAGGCAAAGCUAUGGAAGUGGUGGAUGUGAUGAUUAGGAGAAAAAUUAAUAUUAUGUGCCUUCAAGAGACGAGAUGGGUAGGGAAAAAAGUAAAAACUUUAUCAGAAGCUGGAUAUAAAAUAUGGUACACAGGAACUGAUCGAGCGAAAAAUGGAGUGGGGAUUAUUAUGGAUAAAAGCUUAAUAGAUGAGGUAGUGGAUGUAAAGAGAAUAGGGGAUAGGAUUAUUAUGGUGAAGAUUAGUCUAGGAAGAAUGACUAUGAAUAUCUUUAGUACAUAUGCACUACAAGCGGGGUUAGGUGAUGAGAUAAAAGCAAAAUUCUGUGAGGACUUAGAGGGACUCAUACAAAUGAUACCAAGAGGAGAGAAAGUGAUUAUAGGAGGUGACUUAAAUGGGCACGUGGGUAGAGACGGAAACGGAUAUAGAGAGGUACACGGAGGGUAUGGAUUUGGGGAAAUUAAUAAUGAGGGUAAAUCUAUCCUAGAUUUUGCUAUGGCAUAUGGGCUCAUUAUAACCAAUAUUAGGUUCAAAAAACGGGACGAACACUUAAUCACAUAUAAAAAUAUCACCUCAAGCACCCAAAUAGAUUACUUCCUCAUGAGACAAGAGGAUCGGUUAUGUUGUAGGAAUUGUAAGGUGAUACCGGGAGAGUGUUUGACUACUCAACAUAGACUUCUAGUACUUGACGUCCAAGUAAGAAAUUGGAAGAGAAAAAAUCACAUGAAACAAAAUCCAAGAAUCAGGUGGUGGAAUUUAAAAGGGGAGAAACAACUAAUCUUCAAAGAAAAAUUAAGGGGUAGAAGGGAAUGGAAUGGAGAAAGACAGACAAACCAAAUAUGGAAAGAAAUGGCUAAUGCUCUGAGAAGCACGGCAAAGGUAGUCCUUGAAGAGACAAAUGGUAGAGUCCCUAACUUUAAGAAGUCUUGGUGGUGGAAUGAAGAGGUACAAUUGAAAAUUAAAAAUAAGAAAACUUGCUAUAAGGCGGUAUAUCAAUGCAACAAUGAAGAAAAUCAAAAAAAUUAUAAAGAAGCAAAAAAGGCAGCAAAAAGAGCUGUUAGUGAAGCAAGAUCAAAAGCAUAUGAGAAUCUAUAUAAACGACUUGAUACAAAAGAUGGAGAAAGGGAUAUAUAUAUAAAUUAGCUAAAGUAAGAGAAAGAAAAACACGGGAUUUAAAUCAAGUGAAAUGCAUAAAAGAUGACAAUCAAAAUGUUUUAGUGAAUGAGGGAGCGAUUAAGGAGAGAUGGAAGGAGUAUUUCACAAAAUUAUUCAAUGAUGGUGGUGACACAAGAGUUAGGUUGGGGCAUCUUAGUAACUCCGAAGGGAAUGUGAGCUACACAUUCUAUCGACGCAUAAGUUCAAAUGAAAUAAGAUAAGCAUUAAAAAAGAUGAAAAAUCAUAAGGCAGUGGGACCAGAUAAUAUACCAAUAGAAGCAUGGAAAUGCAUGGGAGAAGAGGGCAUCUCCUGGCUAACGCAACUAUUUAACGCCAUCCUUAAAUCAAAAAAGAUGCCAGAUGAGUGGAGGAAGAGUACUUUGGUUCCUAUAUACAAGAACAAAGGAGAUGUUCAAAACUGUGAAAAUUAUAGAGGAAUUAAGUUAAUGAGUCAUACCAUGAAACUCUGGGAGAGAGUAUUAGAGUAGAGGCUCAGAAAGGAAACAAAGGUGUCAGAAAAUCAGUUUGGUUUCAUGCCUGGUAGGUCAACAAUGGAAGCUAUAUAUUUACUGAGGCGUCUAAUGGAAAGGUAUCGAGAUCAUCAGAAGGACCUACAUAUGGUGUUUAUAGAUCUAGAAAAGGCCUAUGAUAGGAUCCCUAGAGAAGUAUUAUGGAGGGUUUUAGAGAAGAAAGGAGUCAAAAUAGCCUAUAUACAAGCCCUUAAGGACAUGUAUCAUGGUGUAGAGACAAGGGUCAGAACAUGUAGAGGGGAUACUGAACCAUUUACAACUACAAUAGGACUGCAUCAAGGUUCUGCACUAAGUCCAUACUUAUUUGCCCUAGUAAUGGAUGAACUCACUAAAGAAUUCAGACAGAUGUGCCAUGGUGUAUGCUAUUUGCAAACGACAUAGUGUUGGUGGAUGAAACAAAAGAAGGAGUGAACACUAAGCUUGAGUUGUGGAGAAACAAUUUAGAAUCUAAGGGAUUUAAAUUAAGUAGAAAGAAAACAGAAUAUAUGGAAUGCAAAUUUAGUAAAAAUGCAAGAGUGGAUGAUGUUAUAAUAAAAUUAGAAGACCAAAUCUUACAAAGAAAAGACCAUUUUCGAUAUUUGGGAUCAGUGAUUCAAAAAGAUGGAGAAAUCCACGAGGAUGUCGCACAUAGAAUUAAGGCAGGUUGGCUAAAAUGGAGAAAUGCAUCGGGGGUGUUAUGUGAUGGUAAAAUCCCAUUAAAAUUGAAAGGAAAAUUUUAUAGGACAGCUAUAAUGUAAUACCUCGAGAGCCCAGAGAGAUUAGUAUAUAUUGAGGAUAGUGUAAGAAAGGAAAUAACACCAGCUGGAUGCCUUUUGAGCUGAAUGUUGGCAAAGAACUCCAAAGUUAAGCGUGCUUGACCUGGGGUAAUCCAGGGAUGGGUGACCCCCUUGGGAAGUUCGCGUAGGCCCAUCAGGAUAAGUUGUUCCGGAUCUUCCUAUCGCUCGAACGGGAUGUUACAGGUGGUAUCAGAGCCGACCCGGGCCGUGUGUUGGGAUCGUGUACUAGCCAAAGGCUGGGGGUACUGGACUGGGGACCGUGUACUAGCCCAAGGCUGGGGGUACUGGACCGGGGACACUGGACGGGGGAGAGCUGGGACCAGUUGUAAGGUCCCAUGAUGAGGACGUCAUGUGUUUAAGGGGGAGAGAAUGCAAUACCUCGAGAGCCCAGAGAGAUUAGUAUAUAUCGAGGAUAGUGUAAGAAAAGAAAUAACACCAACUGAAUGCCUUUGGGGCUGAAUGUUGGCAAAGAACUCCCAAGUUAAGCAUGCUUGACCUGGGAUAAUCCAGGGAUGGGUGACCCCCCUGGGAAGUUCGCGUAGGCCCAUUAGGAUAAGUUGUUCCGGAUCUUCCUAUCGCUCGAACGGGAUGUUACAUACAAGACCAGUCUUGUUGUACGGCUCAGAAUGUUGGGCAGUCAAAUACCAGCAUGAGCAAAAGACGAGUGUAGCGGAGAUGAGGAUGUUAAGAUGGAUGUGCGGAUAUACAAGAAAGGAUAAAAUUAGAAAUGAAGUUAUUCGUAAUAAGGUAGGAGUAGUGCCAAUCGAGGAGAAGAUGAGAGAGACUAGACUAAGAUGGUUUGGUCAUGUGAGAAGGAGACUAAGAGACGCUCCUGUGAGGAGAGUUGAUGAAAUGGAACAAUUAAUCACAAAAAGAGGUAGAGGUAGACCCAAAAAGACUUUGGGAGAGACAUUAAAAUUUGAUAUGAAAUAUAUGGAUCUAAAUGAGGAUAUGACAAAAGACAGAAAUAUAUGGAAGUCUAGAAUUCAUGUAGCCGACCCCAUAUAGUGGGAUAAAGGCUAGAUAUGUUGUUGUUGUUAUAUGUUGUUGUAGUUGGGAUACACAUGGGUAGCCGAUUGGGGGUUGCUCAGCAAGAUAUUUGUCUGAGUUGUAGAUAGUGAAAAGAAGAUUUCUUUUUACAAAUCCUUUGUCUUGAUUGGAGGAUAUGUAAUGGGUAUAUAGAUAAAUUAAGAUGGAGAAAAAAAGGUGUAGUACUAUUUUCAGUUGAUUACUGUCUAAUUUAACCUUCAAAGUCUUAGUUGUUUUCUUUUUACCUGAUGCAUUAAUCCUUAACAGCUUUGACUUGCUAAAAACUCAAGUUUGUCAGCUGAUUGUUCCCUUGUUUUCAACCAUUUGAAUGUAAGAACUUAUGGCUUUUUCAGGACAUAGAAUAGAAAUUAAUCUCAUUAAAAGCUUUGGAUCUUGUCCUUCCUGUAUUCAUGGGUACCAACAACAAUCUAUCAAGCCUUUAUCUCACUCUGUAAGGUUAACUUCAUGAAUUCUAGUUUGCUGGUCAUUCCCUUUUAUGGUCUUAUCUUCUGUACAGUCCUUAUAACUCAUAUUAUAGGCAUCUGUCACUAAGUUUUUCUUGAUCUUCCUCUUACCUCUUUUUAUAGGAACCCCUAUUGAUCUUCAACAACUAUGAUCCAUUCUUCUUAUAUGAACCUCUGUUGAUCUUUUUUGUUUUUUUCAUAUGACCAAACUUUUAAUUGUGUCUCAUGCAUCUUAUCUUGUAGGAUUCACUUCAACCUUGUUAUGGAUAACCUUACUCAUAGCAUCCUUGUCUCUGAUACGCCCAUGUUUUAUACAUGUUUGUAUUUUACUGCCCUACAAGUUUUGCCAUACAGCAAAACUGGUAUUAUAAUUUUUUCUUUUUUUUUAGCUUUAACAGAAUCUUGCUAUCACAUAGAAUGCCAAAUGUAUUUCUCCAUUUUAACCAGCCUGCUUUGGUUCAAUGGAUAACAUUCUCAUCAGCCUCUCCAUCUGUUUUGGAUGAUUAGCAUCCAAGAUAUGUAAACUGAUUUUUUUUUGUAUGACUUGAUCUAUUGGUUUUACCAUAACAUCAUCCACACUUGUAUUUUUACUAUACUCACAUUUCAUAUAGUGAGUUUUCAAUCUGUUUUAACUUGCUACUCUUUCACAGGAUUUUGAGACUUAACACAGAUCUCGUUAAUUUUCAUUUCCCCUACUGUUAAUGGUUAGAAGUUGUUAAGAUAGACAAGAAGUGGGAGUCUCAGCCAAAUGCAUGUCAUGCCCUCAAGCUGUACACACGUCAGCUUGCGUUGCCUCAUCCUCCUUCCCCCUCUCCCCGUUUCACUGUACCUGUACGGAGUCUUUAUGGAGUUUUGCUUAACUGGGUUGUUUUUUCUUAUCAGAUAAUAGUUAUUUUGCCCUGUCAAUGGCUUAUUUUGCUUAACUGGGUUGUUUUCAUAGUUAUUGUGCUCAUCUGAACCAUGUUCUACUUACGAGAAAUUUUCUCAUUUUAUAACUAGCAGGACAUAAAGAAAACAUUCUUAGCUUCUUAUGUACAUUUUCUUUCCUCUAUGUUGUUACACAUUCUCUCUUUGGUGUUCUGCUUAUUGUACUGCACCUCGGAUGUUGACGAACACGGUUCAAUUUUUCUCUCUCUUGGUCGGAGGCAUUGUAUUUUUCUUUGAAUUUAAAGCUCAGUUCCCCCUUUUUGUUUUGCUUGUCUGAGAACUAUGAACAUGACUUGACUCCUCAAGGUUGGGGUUCCUUGGCUGUAUCUUUGAGGAAUCUGAAGAGGCUAUCAGGGUCAGUUAAAAGCAUUGUCGUCGUGAUUUUAACACACAUUGUGAGUUGAUGUUAUUUAUUUGUUGUCACUGGACAACAGUCGCAGGAGGAAUGCUACUUCACAGGGAUUUUGGAAAAUAAUAUUUUAUUUAAA